CCAAAGGCUCUUUUAAGAGCCAACACAUGACAAUAUUUGUGAUAUUU
rfam:Strongylocentrotus purpuratus Contig78362_fixed, whole genome shotgun sequence.